CAGACCUACUUUCCAAGUCCAACCUCACUAUUUGUUUAAGCUCCGCAGGCCCGGCCUCAAGCUUCGCAGAAUCUUCAUUUUUUUUUUCGUUACAUAUUAAAUAAAGAAAAAACCCCACUUGCAAAGAGUUGCUAGGCUGCGUUACCUUGACCAAAUGGUGCGUGGUUAGGGGUGCGUCCCACAUUUUAAAGUCACCCACUCCAUAUUCCCACC
rnacentral:lncRNA from 1 species